GUUCAUUCAAGCUAGAGGAUUGCAGGGAUAUGUCACCGGAGAUAAGUGAAAAUCAGAGACCCUUAGUUCUACCUACAAUUAGUGGAAAUCAGAAAACUCUCUGAUAAUGUCUUGGCUCAUUAAUUCUAUGCAAUUUUAAAUAGCUCGUGGAUAUUUGUUAUUGGGAAGUGUAGCAGCCAUUUGGAAUGCUGUUUCUUAGACCUAUUCUUAAGUAGGUAAUGAUGCAUAGGUUUAUGAGCUAAGAAAUAAAGUUCAUGGCACAAAAUAGGGUAAGAUGACUAUUGCUCAGUAUUUUGCUGAGUUGACUGGCUUAUGGCAGGAGCUGGAUUAUUAUCAAGACUUUCAAGCUACAUGUGCUGGUG
rnacentral:misc_RNA from 1 species